rnacentral:rRNA from 1 species
AUUGAACGCUGGCGGCAGGCCUAACACAUGCAAGUCGAGCGGAUGAAGGGAGCUUGCUCCUGGAUUCAGCGGCGGACGGGUGAGUAAUGCCUAGGAAUCUGCCUGGUAGUGGGGGAUAACGUCCGGAAACGGGCGCUAAUACCGCACACGUCCUGAGGGAGAAAGUGGGGGAUCUUCGGACCUCACGCUAUCAGAUGAGCCUAGGCCGGAUUAGCUAGUUGGUGGGGUAAAGGCCUACCAAGGCGACGAUCCGUAACUGGUCUGAGAGGAUGAUCAGUCACACUGGAACUGAGACACGGUCCAGACUCCUACGGGAGGCAGCAGUGGGGAAUAUUGGACAAAGGGCGAAAGCCUGAUCCAGCCAUGCCGCGUGUGUGAAGAAGGUCUUCGGAUUGUAAAGCACUUUAAGUUGGGAGGAAGGGCAGUAAGUUAAUACCUUGCUGUUUUGACGUUACCAACAGAAUAAGCACCGGCUAACUUCGUG